UGUUGUGUCAUUUCUCAGACUUUAUGACAUUUCUAAUGUGUCUCAAUAUUUCUUCUUUCAGAUCGUAUCUGCUGCAGCGGUGACCAGAGGAACAGGAUGAUUUGCUCAAGAGGAGUCGUCUGGCAUGAGGGGUUCAGGGUGUUUUCUCGGCUCUUGUUGACUGAUCAAGAGAAGCAGAAGUGUUUUUGUGAUCUGCUGGCAGUUUGCUCACAUCCCACGCUCUGAGUCAAGCAUUCUAGCGCUGAUCCAGGACCAGCCUCUGCAGACGCACCACAGCCAUCUGAAAGAGCGUGAAGCUGACUUCAGAUCAGCAGCUGAUGUGAUCGCAGACGCAGAUAAUCGAGCCUCUUCCUGAGGAAGAAGCAGGCCUGACUGUGUGGCACGAAGGUCUCCUCAAGCCGGAUGUUUGCAGUGCUCAGUCGCACACCUGCAGCGAGACGCGGGCGACACGUUCAGUGUGACAAUGUUUACUGGGCCUGCUGCGGUUGAGAUCUGCUGCUGAAGUGAAACGGCGUGGGCCGCGUGUGGCUCUCUUCCAGAGGAUGCAUUUUGAAAUAUUUUGAUAAAGUAGAGCACUGGUGUGUGAGAGCCUGUACAGACCAGACUCUUCAUGCCGGUCCAGGUGGGCUGCUGCUGCUUAGUAUUGGUUUGAUGUUGGUUUUGUUGGUUUACCCACACAGUCACACUGUUCACCAGCAAAACAUGACCGAUGAAGCCGCUUGUCCCACAGAGACCCUGGGUUGAAGAUGGUAGAUCUCGAGCACCGCUGGUCUGUUCAUCAGGGGAGUUUAGUUAAAGAGUUUUGUUAGAAUAUACAACGGAUGUUUCCACCGAUGAGCCAAAAUUGGAUGAGAAACCAAUUAAUAAUAAUAAUAAUAAUAAGGAACAGAACCAAAUAAACAUCAACAUCAAAGCACAAUAUUCAUACCAAGGGCUGAAAGUAAUAUACAGAGGUCGCUUACAAAGUUACAAACAAAGAGGGACUCAAUAACAUUGGAUGAGACGCCAGCAGUUACAGCAGAAGUCAAUGUCUCUCUCAUCUCACUGAGCUGAUUGAGUUUUAACAGACCUGCUAAAGCGUGCGCUGGGUUUGAUGGGGCGUCACUGAGAAUAUAUGGGGUAAAGUCAUGUGAGAGGAGGCAGUGCCUCCAUAGUGCUACGAUUGGCCUUAACGCAAUACAUCCCGCCUGAAUCAGUCUGAAUGAACAAAUAAUGGUGUUAAUGGGAAGACUCAUUUAAAAGUAGUCAACAACGCACACACUUGUUAGCAUUACUUUGUCAUGUCACAUUCAAACUUGAAAUGACCUGAAAACAAUAAUCUUUGAGGGUUUUUUAAGUGUGCAAUCUGUUUGGUCAAAUUAAAGACCCAUUUCAGUGUCUGCAGUGUUUACUGAGCUUUGAUGACUGAUGAUCCGAUUAUUAAAAAGAACAGCUGAACAUCAGUUUACAAAUAAGACAUACAUGGAUUUUAUUUACCGUGUUAAGUUAUUAUUUGGGUAUUAAUGUAAAAAAUAUUAUUUAUACUUGAGUUUAAUAAAUAGAACGUAUUUAUUGCAGUGUAAACAUACAAAAUACAAUAGUAUUUGUUUGUUUUUUGAGCGUAAGUGAUGUUUAACCUGGAAAGUGUCUAAUGAGUGUAACUGGAACAUGAAUUUACAUUGGAUUAAAGCACAAGCAAAC
rnacentral:lncRNA from 1 species